GUGUUUGCUUUGGCAGCACAUGUACUAGAAUUGGAUUGAUAGAGAUUAGUGUGGCCCCUGCAUAAGGAUGACAUGCAAAUUUGUGAAGCAGUCCAUAUUUUA
ensembl:snRNA U6 U6 spliceosomal RNA